rnacentral:lncRNA from 1 species
UAUGUUCAAAAACCAAGGAAGAGCAAGAAACUGAGGAAGAGAAAGAAGACCCAUAAUUUCCCCAGUAUUUCCAG